GGUCGGUGAUGAUAAGUAAAAGGUCUGAUUUCCCACAAUCCCCUCUGCCGGCCUCAGCUCCCAGCAUGCUCUAGUGCUGCAUGAUGGUCCCAGCAGCUGCUGAGACAGGAAGUGACAUCACAAACAGGAUGUGACAUCACAGCGAGUCUGUACAGAGAUCCUGCAGGCGCCCAGUGAUGAUGUCAUCCAACAGAACCAAUCAGCACGCAGCGAGAGGCCGGGGGGGGGGUGGGGCAUGAUCUCCAGUUUUCAACCUGAGACC